GUGUUGUAUGAGAGGACAGAAGGUGAGCCGUCCCCCUGACAAGGCUGGAAGAGGCUGUUGGGCGUGACGACACUCACAGGGGCGAGGCAUUGUCGCCUACCUGCGGGGGCCCCUGAGAUCACCUUUUGCU